GCGAGAUGUGCAUGUGAAAAGCGUGUAGUCCUGGAAUUUUCCAGCUCGUAAUCGACUGUAAAUUUACUUGACGGGGUCCCAGACUGUGCUUGCAUACUUGAGAUGCGGUCGAACUAAGGAUUUAUAUGACAGUUCAUUGAUAGAUUCAGGACAUUUUCCAAGAUUCCUUUUCAAGAAACCCAAAGUUCUGUUUGCCUUAUUAGUCUUCAUAUCAAUAUGAUGACUCCAGUCUAGUGAACUUGGCAAUUCCGCCCCAAGUCAGCGGGCAGUUGACCAGUAGCUACAGAUUGGGUGUAGAGAAAUUGGAGAAAAGGUGCAAUUUCAGCAGCCGCU